rnacentral:rRNA from 1 species
AGAGUUUGAUCAUGGCUCAGAGCGAACGCUGGCGGCGUACUUAACACAUGCAAGUCGAACGGGGAUCGUCGGUGUAGCAAUACAUCGGCGGUCCUAGUGGCGCACGGGUGAGUAACACGUGGGUAACCUGUCCUUGAGUUCGGGAUACCCUCUCGAAAGGGAGGCUAAUACCGGAUACGUUCCCCGGAUUGCGAAAUUUGGGGAGGAAAGGUGGCGCAAGCUGCCGCUCUUGGAGGGGCUCGCGGCCUAUCAGCUAGUUGGUGAGGUAAUGGCUCACCAAGGCUAUGACGGGUAGCUGGUCUGAGAGGACGACCAGCCACACGGGAACUGAGACACGGUCCCGACUCCUACGGGAGGCAGCAGUGGGGAAUUUUCCGCAAUGGGCGAAAGCCUGACGGAGUGACGCCGCGUGGGGGACGAAGGCCUUCGGGUUGUAAACCCCUGUCAGAGGGAAAGAAGGGUGUCGGCGCGAUAACCGUCGGCACUUGACGGUACCUUCAGAGGAAGCCCCGGCCAACUCUGUGCCAGCAGCCGCGGUAAUAC